UGGCAGCCUGCACACCGAUCAUACAACCAAAUAAAACGGACGAUAAUCUGAAUUAAUCUAUAGAUGAACUGGUGGAAAACUAUGCAGAAAGGAAAACACUGCAAAGCAAUAUGCAGCUUCAAAAUCCAAGUUUAUGGCCAGUAGAAACGAUAACAGUGCUUCUACUUCAUAAUACAGAAACGAAUGUUCAAGAAAAAGAAAACUUGACAUGGAAGCCAUGCUCUAAGUUCAAUUAAGGCAUAUUUCAAACAUAAAUGAGUUUCCUCGAGUCCUCAUUAAGUUAGCUAUGGUUAUUUGGGUUGCUUGAGUGCUGGUUCAUUGUUUUAUAGGAUUUCUUAGAGAUUCAGAGUUAGGAUUAGCUCUGUAAUUUCAAAAUUUAUUGGAAACAGACAACAGAAGAAGUUCAAGGUGUCAUUUUCUAUUCAUGUGUCUUGCUAGUCCAACAAGUGAUCUUUAUUCAUAUUUUCCU